rnacentral:rRNA from 1 species
GAGACAGCAGUCGCCACGGUAAUACGUAGGUGGCAAGCGUGGUCCGGAAUUAUUGGGCGUAAAGGGCUCGCAGGCGGUUUCUUAAGUCUGAUGUGAAAGCCCCCGGCUCAACCGGGGAGGGUCAUUGGAAACUGGGAAACUUGAGUGCAGAAGAGGAGAGUGGAAUUCCACGUGUAGCGGUGAAAUGCGUAGAGAUGUGGAGGAACACCAGUGGCGAAGGCGACUCUCUGGUCUGUAACUGACGCUGAGGAGCGAAAGCGUGGGGAGCGAACAGGAUUAGAUACCCCCGUAGUCCCUGUCUCUUAUAC